UACGUAGGGUGCAAGCGUUGCCCGGAUUUAUUGGGCGUAAAGAGCUCGUAGGCGGUGUGUCGCGUCGGUCGUGAAAACUUGGGGCUUAACCCUGAGCUUGCGGUCGAUACGGGCAUCACUGGAGUUCGGCAGGGGAGACUGGAAUUCCUGGUGUAGCGGUGAAAUGCGCAGAUAUCAGGAGGAACACCGGUGGCGAAGGCGGGUCUCUGGGCCGAUACUGACGCUGAGGAGCGAAAGCGUGGGGAGCGAACAGG
rnacentral:rRNA from 1 species